rnacentral:rRNA from 1 species
AACGAACGCUGGCGGCAUGCCUAACACAUGCCAGUCGAACGAGACCUUCGGGUCUAGUGGCGCACGGGUGCGUAACGCGUGGGAACAUGCCCUUAGGUUCGGAAUAACUCCCCGAAAGGGGUGCUAAUACCGGAUAAUUUCUUCGGACCAAAGAUUUAUCGCCUUUGGAUGGGCCCGCGUUGGAUUAGCUAGUUGGUAGGGUAAACGCCUACCAAGGCGAGGAUCCAUAGCUGGUCUGAGAGGAUGAUCAGCCACACUGGGACUGAGACACGGCCCAGACUCCUACGGGAGGCAGCAGUGGGGAAUAUAGGAGAAUGGGCGAAAGCCUGAUCCAGCAAGGCCGGGUGAGUGAUGAAGGCGUUAGGGUUGUAAAGCUCUUUUAACCGGGAGGAUAAUGACAGUACCGGGAGAAUAAGCUCCGGCUAACUACGUG